rnacentral:rRNA from 1 species
GAUGAACGCUAGCUACAGGCUUAACACAUGCAAGUCGAGGGGCAGCAUCAUCAAAGCUUGCUUUGAUGGAUGGCGACCGGCGCACGGGUGAGUAACACGUAUCCAACCUGCCGACAACACUGGGAUAGCCUUUCGAAAGAAAGAUUAAUACCGGAUGGCAUAGUUUUCCCGCAUGGGAUAAUUAUUAAAGAAUUUCGGUUGUCGAUGGGGAUGCGUUCCAUUAGGCAGUUGGCGGGGUAACGGCCCACCAAACCAACGAUGGAUAGGGGUUCUGAGAGGAAGGUCCCCCACAUUGGAACUGAGACACGGUCCAAACUCCUACGGGAGGCAGCAGUGAGGAAUAUUGGUCAAUGGACGAGAGUCUGAACCAGCCAAGUAGCGUGAAGGAUGACUGCCCUAUGGGUUGUAAACUUCUUUUAUACGGGAAUAAAGUUAGCCACGUGUGGCUUUUUGUAUGUACCGUAUGAAUAAGGAUCGGCUAACUCCGUGCCAGCAGCCGCGGUAAUACGGAGGAUCCGAGCGUUAUCCGGAUUUAUUGGGUUUAAAGGGAGCGUAGGCGGGUUGUUAAGUCAGUUGUGAAAGUUUGCGGCUCAACCGUAAAAUUGCAGUUGAUACUGGCGACCUUGAGUGCAACAGAGGUAGGCGGAAUUCGUGGUGUAGCGGUGAAAUGCUUAGAUAUCACGAAGAACUCCGAUUGCGAAGGCAGCUUACUGGAUUGUAACUGACGCUGAUGCUCGAAAGUGUGGGUAUCAAACAGGAUUAGAUACCCUGGUAGUCCACAUAGUAAACGAUGAAUGGGUCGCUGUUGGGGAUAUACAAUCAGCGGCCAAGCGAAAAGCAUUAAGUAUUCCUCCUGGGGAGUACGCCGGCAACGGUGAAACUCAAAGGAAUUGACGGGGGGCCGCACAAGCGGAGGAACAUGUGGUUUAAUUUGAUGAUACGCGAGGAACCUUACCCGGGCUUAAAUUGCAACUGACUGAACCGGAAACGGUUCUUUCUUCGGACAGUUGUGAAGGUGCUGCAUGGUUGUCGUCAGCUCGUGCCGUGAGGUGUCGGCUUAAGUGCCAUAACGAGCGCAACCCUUAUCGAUAGUUACUAGCAGGUCAUGCUGAGGACUCUAUUGAGACUGCCGUCGUAAGAUGUGAGGAAGGGGGGGAGGACGUCAAAUCAGCACGGCCCCUGGGGGCCGGGGCUACACACGUGUUACAAUGGGGGGUACAGAAGGCAGCUACACGGCGACGUGGUGCUAAUCCCGAAAGCCUCUCUCAGUUCGGAUUGGAGUCUGCAACCCGGGUCCAUGAAGCUGGAUUCGCUAGUAAUCGCGCAUCAGCCACGGCGCGGUGUAUAAGUUCCCGGGCCUUGCAC